rnacentral:rRNA from 1 species
AGGAAAUAGAUACCCAGGUAGUCCCAGCUGUAAACGAUGCAGGCUAGGUGUUUGGACGGCCACGUGCCGUUCUAGUGCCGCAGGGAAGCUGUUAAGCCUGCCGCCUGGGGAGUACGAUCGCAAGAUUGAAACUUAAAGGAAUUGGCGGGGGAGCACCACAAGGGGUGAAGCUUGCGGUUUAAUUGGAGUCAACGCCGGAAAUCUCACCGGGAGCGACAGCAGUGUGAAGGCCAGAUUAAAGGUCUUGCCAGACGAGCUGAGAGGAGGUGCAUGGCCGUCGCCAGUUCGUGCCGUGAGGUGUCCUGUUAAGUCAGGCAACGAUCGAGACCCGCAUCCUCUGUUGCAACCAGUUUUGAGCUGGGCACACUGAGGAGACCGCCACUGAUAAAGUGGAGGAAGGAGCGGGCCACGGCAGGUCAGUAUGCCCCGAAUCUCCCGGGCCACACGCGAGCUGCAAUGGCAGGUACAAUGGGUUCCGACCUCGAAAGGGGAAGGCAAUCUCGAAAA